rnacentral:rRNA from 1 species
AUUGAACGCUAGCGGGAUGCCUUACACAUGCAAGUCGAACGGAGUGGCGAACGGGUGAGCAAUGUAUCGGAACGUGCCCAGCAGCGGGGGAUAACUACGCGAAAGCGUAGAUAAUACCGCAUACUAUUGGAGCGGCCGAUAUCGGAUUAGCUAGUUGGUGGGGUAACGACUCACCAAGGCGACGAUCCGCAGCUGGUGUGAGAGGACGACCAGCCACACUGGGACUGAAACACGGCCCAGACUCCUACGUGAGGCAGCAGUGGGGAAUUUUGGACAGUGGGGUGAACCCUGAUCCAACCAUCCCGCGUAUGCGAUGAAGGCCUUCGGGUUGUAAAGCACUAUUGGCAGGAAAGCGGUACCUGCAGAAUAAGCACCGGCUAACUCCGUGCCAGCCGCCGCGGUAAUAC